CUACGGGGGGCUCCAGUGGGGAAUCUUAGACAAUGGGCGCAAGCCUGAUCUAGCCAUGCCGCGUGAGUGAUGAAGGCCUUAGGGUCGUAAAGCUCUUUCGCUGGGGAAGAUAAUGACGGUACCCAGUAAAGAAACCCCGGCUAACUCCGUGCCAGCAGCCGCGGUAAUACGGAGGGGGUUAGCGUUGUUCGGAAUUACUGGGCGUAACGCGCGCGUAGGCGGACUGUUAAGUCGGGGGUGAAAUCCCGGGGCUCAACCCCGGAACGGCCUUCGAUACUGGCAGUCUGGAGUUCGAGAGAGGUGAGUGGAAUUCCGAGUGUAGAGGUGAAAUUCGUAGAUAUUCGGAGGAACACCAGUGGCGAAGGCGGCUCACUGGCUCGAUACUGACGCUGAGGUGCGAAAGUGUGGGGAGCAAACAGGAUUAGAUACCCCCGUAGUC
rnacentral:rRNA from 1 species